CAGAAAUUAAAGUUGCUAGCUAGUGAGCAAAAAUGAAUACUAAUUCUAGCUGCUCCUGAGUCCAGAGAGCGGCACACUCCAUCUCAGUGAAGUAGCUCUUUCUGAGAUUCCUCAUCCGUGGGGCUUUUCAGUUAAUCAAGAGAGUAUGUCCAGGCUAGUCUACUUAGGCAAGGUCGAGGCAAGAGGAAGCUAAAUGGCUCUGCCUGAAAAGAGAAGACAGGAAUUUUUAAAGUGGGCAAAACAAGAAUGAUAAUAGGCAUGUCUCAAGGUUGCUGUGUGGACCAGCUAAAGCCCUAUGUAAGAAAGCACUUCACAUACAGAAGAGGGUACUUAGUGAAAAAACAGGAUCUUGCAUAAGAGGAUGCCAUGAUCAGCCACAGUAUCAUUUCAAUUUCUCCAUAAUAUUUUCUUUAUAGAAUUAUUAAGAUCAAAGUUGCACCAAAAACAAGGAAUUAAUGCUGGCACAUCACCUGGACACUAUUGAAGGAG
rnacentral:lncRNA from 10 species